AGGGUGUGCAUUUAAUUUAGUAAAUGUCUCUCCUAACCUGUCACAGCGCUGCUUGUUUUUGCUGGAGCAUAUGCUCUGGUGGGGGCUGUUGAUUCAGCAAAAGUAAUGGUAGCCGGUAGAGCUGAUCAAAUGCUCCAGAAAUAGUUUAUCACAUAAAUUAUUCAGCAGCUGUUGGUGUUUCUUAUCACAUAAUGUGUUUGACCACUUGGAGGUUGGUGUGCUCUGGUGCACAAGAUUGCUGAGGGGGCUUUUCUGCUUCACUCACCUUCGGUGCAGGUACAAAGGUUUCCUGUGCUCCUUGCUGGCAGUACAAGAGGGGAGGUGAGAGCCUUUGAGGUCUGUUAAAGGCUUACAGUCCUCUUAAAAAAAUUCACAGUUGGAGAAAGGCCAUAGAGAGCCCCAAAGAGCCACUAACUGUGUGUGUUAAAGAUGUUAUCCUUCAUUCAACACUGCCACAGUUGUGCCAGUAAAAGGGAUAACUGAAUGGUCCCUGGGUGCUGACCUCAGGUAACCCAUCUGUCUGUGCCCAAAGCUGAGCUAGCACAGCCUUUGGGGCUGAUGGAGCUGUGGGAGUGGCAGGCAACCUCCAGCAGAAGCCAGCAGGCCUGCUAGUUGUUUGGAGAGUGGGUGUCUGGCUGUAUUGCAGCACAGCACUGCACACGGCUCUGCCAGCAACAAACCAGUUUAAACUCUUUUUGUUUGGUUGAAGAGCUUGUGUGUCUCAUGUUUCUCUACAGAAAGUUUGACUGCCAUCUGAUCUGACACAUCUAUGCUUGUAUCAGUGCUUGUAAGGUUUGGUUAUUUUUUUGUUUUCUGGAACAGUUGUCCCUGUCACCUGCCUGACUUGACUGGGUCUCAUCGUGUAGCAGCCGUUUCCCAUCCACAGUACUGGAGUCAAUUUUGGACAUGCAACAUCAAAACACCUUCUUAUGGUGGCUUGAGUCUUGACAGGAGAGGAGACCAUGCUGGACUACCUCAGCAUCCUCAGGGCAGUGGCACUAACUGUGUUGGGAGGCACCACUGCAGAC